AUAUAUGUACUGCCGAAGCGAGUACAUGCAUGGCCCCUGCGUAAGGAUCACACGCAAAAUCGUGAAGCGUUCCACAUUUU
rnacentral:snRNA from 1 species